rnacentral:lncRNA from 1 species
CUGGAUACGAAUCAUCGCUGAUAUGCCUACUUCUAAGCCCGCUCAUUCUUCUUCGGCAAUUCUGCCCUUCUCACUGACAUAGAUACCGUCAAGAAACUUUCGGAUAUCCUUGUUCUUCACAUGGCAUUUCUGUCCAACAGAAUACAACAUAGAGCAGUUAAGUAAUGUAUAAUCUCCCUACUCUUUGUGAAUCAGUUUCAAAAAAAACAAGCAUGCAAAUAUUGAAUGCUGGGAAAGAACAUAGAGAUUACUUGAUUGAUGAGGGCAGCAGAGCGAGAGACGAGCUCAAUGUCAUUUCCAUCCAAUACAAGCUCAUCCUUAACCUUCUCAGAUCGAACAACUGUUACCCCAUCAAGCAUGUCCACUUUCCUAACCUGAUACAGUCAUCAAACCAGUCAAUCGCCAGGCACUACAACAAACGGAAUAGAUGAUUCACAGUCCAGGAUACUAUCCCAUUAAUAGAUGUAGCUAUCUUCUGCCAUGAAAGGGAUAUCAGUCACAAAGUCCAGAUACCAAUCAAUAAGAAUGACACUCAGAGCUUGCUUUUGUCUGUUCUGGAACAUGAUUCCUUAAGACAGAUAGAAUAAUCUAUGAAAAUCUCAUUGCAUUAUCUCAUAAAGACCUAAUUCUUCUCUUAUCUUUAAUCCUUACAUAAGCUGCUAACUAUUUCAACCAACAUCUCAAACUUCCUGGCAGAUUUUUAACAAAGUAGUAUAACAAGUUGCAAAGUGAAUUUAUCAAAAACUUUCUAAUCACAGUUAACAAAAAAAAGACAAUCAAUCUAUGCUGCUUUUAAAGUAGUAUAUUAAUUUUAUUUCCAAAGAAAUAAGAAAUCAAUGCCUGAAUUCACAUUGAAAAAUAGUCAAAAUCAUGCCAUUCUUUCUUCCAACAAGAAUUAACAUAUGUUUGACAAUACUUCCAAAGCCUAUCAAUUUAUCUUCUCUCGCCUUAUGUUUUACACUCUUUAGAAAGCCUGUCGGGGCAGAUUAUCAAAACAACCACCCAAUUACAACAAAAAUUUGAAGGGAAAACAACUAUGCAGAAUGAUUACAUAUUCGAUUCUCAUAUUUACAAAAAAAAACUGAUGCAAACUUGUAUCAUUUAUGCAUACACUACCAUCUAAUAGAAUCCCUUUUAGCGUUAUUUUAUAUCUAAUCAUUUCAUUCAGCACAAAAAAAAACUCAGAAGAAAAACAAACAUAAAAAAGUAACAAUCCAUAUCACAUAUGUCACGCUCAUAUUAACAAACUAUUGCACAUCAUUUCAUUCAUACAAAAAGCUUCAGAAAAGAGUAAAAAUUAAAGUAAAAAAUACCCUCUUCUCGCCAAGGAAGUUACGAAUCUCAAUGGACUUGUUACCACCGGUGAUGGAGGCAUUGAUCGGAAAGUGAGCAUACACGAAACGCAUCUUGUAGCGGUAACCUUUGGUCACACCAGUGAUGAGAUUCUCAACAUGGCUAAGAGCAGUACGGAUAGCUGCAGUAGUCUUACGGGAUCCAAACCAAGCGUCAAUCUUCAGCUUCUUCUUGCCAGUUUCCUCGUCCUUGAUCAGCUGAAAAUCGAGGUUGAGAUGCUUGAAGUUUCGGACAAGUUUGCCCCUU